AGAGUUUGAUCCUGGCUCAGGAUGAACGCUAGCGGCAGGCUUAACACAUGCAAGUCGAAGGGCAGCGUGGGAAGUGCUUGCACUUCCUGACGGCGACUGGCGCACGGGUGAGUAACACGUAUGCAACCUGCCCCCUGCAGGGGGACAACUUUCCGAAAGGAAGGCUAAUCCCGCGUAUAUUCCGGAGGGGCAUCCCUCCGGGAGGAAAGAUUUAUCGGCAGGGGAUGGGCAUGCGGCGCAUUAGGCAGACGGCGGUGUAACGGACCACCGUACCGACGAUGCGUAGGGGUUCUGAGAGGAAGGUCCCCCACACUGGUACUGAGACACGGACCAGACUCCUACGGGAGGCAGCAGUGAGGAAUAUUGGUCAAUGGGCGGGAGCCUGAACCAGCCAAGCCGCGUGAGGGAGGAAGGCCCUAUGGGUCGUAAACCUCUUUUGUCAGGGAACAAAAGCGAGUAUGUAUACUAGUCUGAGUGUACCUGAAGAAAAAGCAUCGGCUAACUCCGUGCCAGCAGCCGCGGUAAUACGGAGGAUGCGAGCGUUAUCCGGAUUUAUUGGGUUUAAAGGGUGCGUAGGCGGCGAUGCAAGUCAGCGGUAAAAGCCCGGGGCUCAACCCCGGCGAGCCGUUGAAACUGCAGUGCUAGAGAAGGCGAGAGGUACGCGGAAUGCGCAGUGUAGCGGUGAAAUGCUUAGAUAUUGCGCAGAACUCCGAUUGCGAAGGCAGCGUACUGGCGCCUGACUGACGCUGAGGCACGAAAGCGUGGGGAUCGAACAGGAUUAGAUACCCUGGUAGUCCACGCAGUAAACGAUGAAUGCCGGCUGUUCGGGUUGAAUGAGACCUGAGCGGCGAAGCGAAAGCGAUAAGCAUUCCACCUGGGGAGUACGCCGGCAACGGUGAAACUCAAAGGAAUUGACGGGGGCCCGCACAAGCGGAGGAACAUGUGGUUUAAUUCGAUGAUACGCGACUCGUGCCGUGAGGUGUCGGCUUAAGUGCCAUAACGAGCGCAACCCCUGCCGGUAGUUGCUAACGGUUAAAGCCGAGGACUCUACCGGGACUGCCGGCGCAAGCCGUGAGGAAGGCGGGGAUGACGUCAAAUCAGCACGGCCCUUACGUCCGGGGCGACACACGUGUUACAAUGGUCGGUACAGAGGGAAGCCAGGUGGCGACACCGAGCGGAACCCGAAAGCCGGUCUCAGUUCGGAUCGGAGUCUGCAACCCGACUCCGUGAAGCUGGAUUCGCUAGUAAUCGCGCAUCAGCCAUGGCGCGGUGAAUACGUUCCCGGGCCUUGUACACACCGCCCGUCAAGCCAUGGGAGCCGAGGGCGCUUGAAGUGCGUCGCCGCGAGGCGCGCCCUAGAGCGAAAUCGGUGACUGGGGCUAAGUCGUAACAAGGUAGCCGUACCGGAAGGUGCGGCUG
rnacentral:rRNA from 1 species